AACGCACCUUGCGCUCCAUGGUAUUCCAUGGAGCAUGCCUGUUUGAGUGUCACGUGAAACUAUCACUCUUAUCCUGUCGCAAGACAAGUCAGGAUGUGGACUUGGACUGUGCCGUAGUUGGCUCGUCUUGAAAUGCAUUAGCCGUGCUGGUUAGAUUCGGCCACCUGGUGUGAUAUAUGUCUACGCCUACCGUGCUGUUUCUUCCUGAGUGUGGCUUAUAAUCGUCGCUUGUUCGACAAUACAAAUUAACGCUCUGGCCUCAAAUCAGGUAGGACUACCCGCUGAACUUAA
rnacentral:misc_RNA from 1 species